rnacentral:rRNA from 1 species
CCUACGGGUGGCAGCAGUGGGGAAUAUUGCGCAAUGGGCGAAAGCCUGACGCAGCGACGCCGCGUGAGGGAUGAAGGUCUUCGGAUCGUAAACCUCUGUCAGCAGGGAAGAACGGUCACUGUGCUAAUCAGCAGUGAAUUGACGGUACCUGCAAAGGAAGCACCGGCUAACUCCGUGCCAGCAGCCGCGGUAAUACGGAGGGUGCGAGCGUUAAUCGGAAUUACUGGGCGUAAAGCGCUCGUAGGCGGUAUGUCAAGUCAAGGGUGAAAUCCCCGGGCUCAACGUGGGAACUGCCUCUGAUACUGGCAGACUGGAGUGUGUGAGAGGAUAGUGGAAGUCCAGGUGUAGGAGUGAAAUCCGUAGAUAUCUGGAGGAACAUCGGUGGCGAAGGCGACUAUCUGGCACAUGACUGACGCUGAGGAGCGAAAGCGUGGGUAGCAAACAGGAUUAGAUACCCCAGUAGUC